rnacentral:piRNA from 1 species
UGUUGGUUUUGAAGACAGGAUCUCUCUGU